AACGCACAUUGCGCCCUUUGGCAUUCCGAAGGGCAUGCCUGUUCGAGCGUCAUUAUCCUCUCUCAAACCUCGGGUUUGGUGUUGGACCGCGUUGGACCGCCCAUGGCCAACUGGUCUCAAAGACAAUGACGGCGUCCCAGGGACCCUCUAUGCAUUGAGCUUUCCGGAGCACGCGUAGAGUAUCAAGGGCCUCGGGACCCGGUCACCUCUAUAUUUUUUCUAGGUUGACCUCGGAUCAGGUAGGAAUACCCGCUGAACUUAA
rnacentral:misc_RNA from 1 species